GCCGGGGCGGCAGCUACACAUGCAGUCGAGCGAGCUCUUCGGAGCUAGCGGCGGACGGGUUAGUAACGCGUGGGAACGUGCCCUUCACUGCGGAAUAGCCACUGGAAACGGUGAGUAAUACCGCAUACGCCCUUCGGGGGAAAGAUUUAUCGGUGAAGGAUCGGCCCGCGUUAGAUUAGAUAGUUGGUGGGGUAACGGCCUACCAAGUCUACGAUCUAUAGCUGGUUUUAGAGGAUGAUCAGCAACACUGGGACUGAGACACGGCCCAGACUCCUACGGGAGGCAGCAGUGGGGAAUCUUGGACAAUGGGCGCAAGCCUGAUCCAGCCAUGCCGCGUGAGUGAUGAAGGCCUUAGGGUCGUAAAGCUCUUUCGCCAGAGAUGAUAAUGACAGUAUCUGGUAAAGAAACCCCGGCUAACUCCGUGCCAGCAGCCGCGGUAAUACGGAGGGGGUUAGCGUUGUUCGGAAUUACUGGGCGUAAAGCGCACGUAGGCGGAUCAGAAAGUUGGGGGUGAAAUCCCGGGGCUCAACCCCGGAACUGCCUCCAAAACUCCUGGUCUUGAGUUCGAGAGAGGUGAGUGGAAUUCCGAGUGUAGAGGUGAAAUUCGUAGAUAUUCGGAGGAACACCAGUGGCGAAGGCGGCUCACUGGCUCGAUACUGA
rnacentral:rRNA from 1 species